rnacentral:pre_miRNA from 1 species
UCUUAUGGGUGAGCAAAAAAAGUGGUUUCUUUAGAGGGAAUCUCCUCCUGGUGAAGAGGCUGUGAA